GCCCUGGUGGCUCAGUGGUUAAGUGUUGGGCUGCUAACCAAAAAUCGACAGUUCAAAUCCACCCACGGCU
rnacentral:tRNA from 1 species